AUGGGAGUUACCGGUGGAGGUUCACCGCGAAGGAGGGAGACGUCUGGCUGGAAGGAACAAUGGCCGAUGGCACGCAGAGCUAGGGAGUGGAGAGAGAGCAUGCAGAAAUGCUUGAUGAAGAUGAAGUUUGAUGGAGUUUUAUUGAUUUUUGUUGAAGGACUACCGGGGCAGUUUCAAGACUUCUUCAGGACCUCUACCUCGUUGCCUCCUUUAGCAUCUGCAGAGAGAACAACAGGACGUGGAACAACAUGA